ACUCGUGACGCGUCGGGUUACUUGGCGCCGAACUAAAUCCAAGGUGACUCGCCGGCGGUCGGCCUGCCAAGUGGCUAAACCGACGGUUAAACCCAAAUAGCUUGGCUAAGUAUGUAGAGCUUCUUGUGGAGGGCUUGCGGACGGGGGUUCGAUUCCCCCCGGCUCCACCA
rnacentral:tmRNA from 1 species